rnacentral:rRNA from 1 species
GUGAACGCUGGCGGUAGGCCUAACCCAUGCCAGUCGCACGGCAGCACAGUAAGAGCUUGCUCUUACGGGUGGCGAGUGGCGGACGGGUGAGGAAUACAUCGGAAUCUACUUUUUCGUGGGGGAUAACGUAGGGAAACUUACGCUAAUACCGCAUACGACCUGCGGGUGAAAGCAGGGGAUCUUCGGACCUUGCGCGAUUGAAUGAGCCGAUGUCGGAUUAGCUAGUUGGCGGGGUAAAGGCCCACCAAGGCGACGAUCCGUAGCUGGUCUGAGAGGAUGAUCAGCCACACUGGAACUGAGACACGGUCCAGACUCCUACGGGAGGCAGCAGUGGGGAAUAUUGGACAAUGGGCGCAAGCCUGAUCCAGCCAUACCGCGUGGGUGAAGAAGGCCUUCGGGUUGUAAAGCCCUUUUGUUGGGAAAGAAAAGCAGCAGGUUAAUACCCCGCUGUUCUGACGGUACCCAAAGAAUAAGCACCGGCUAACUUCGUG